CGGCGGACGGGUGGAGUAACGCGUGGGUAACCGUGCCUCACACAGGGGGAGUAACAGUUGGAAACGGCUGCUAAUACCGCAUAAGCGCACAGUACCGCAUGGUACAGUGUGAAAAACUCUGGUGGUGUGAGAUGGACCCGCGUCUGAUUAGCUGGUUGGCAGGGUAACGGCCUACCAAGGCGACGAUCAGUAGCCGACCUGAGAGGAAGGUCCCCCACAUUGGAACUGAGACACGGUCCAAACUCCUACGGGAGGCAGCAUG
rnacentral:rRNA from 1 species